rnacentral:rRNA from 1 species
UAGGGAAUCUUCGGCAAUGGGGGCAACCCUGACCGAGCAACGCCGCGUGAGUGAAGAAGGUUUUCGGAUCGUAAAGCUCUGUUGUAAGUCAAGAACGGGUGUGAGAGUGGAAAGUUCACACUGUGACGGUAGCUUACCAGAAAGGGACGGCUAACUACGUGCCAGCAGCCGCGGUAAUACGUAGGUCCCGAGCGUUGUCCG